ACUAGAGGGCAGUACACAGCACAAGGGCUUGUUAAUUCAGUCAGCCACAGGCCCCAGGGGAUCGUAUGGUGGAUAUCAUCAGUCACGACGUCUCAGACAGACAGACGGACCCCCAAAGAGGCAGUACAGACGAGCAGCUAGAGACAGACAGGCAGUACAGAGGAGCAGCUAGAGACAGACAGGUAGUACAGAGGAGCAGCUAGAGACAGACAGGCAAGACAGGCAGGCAGUACAGACGGUCAGGAGGCAGUACCACGUCGCUCUGACUGGUGUACACGUUGUCAGCGAGGCUCUCCAGGGCGAUCCACUUGACGGGCAGCUUGGAGGCGGAGCCCUGGCGGUAGUAGUCCCCGCUGUAGAUCUUCUUAGAGAGGCCGAAGUCCGCCACACACACCGUCAUGUCUUCAUUCAGCCUGCAACACACACACACACACACACACACCGAAACACAUGCACACGUCUUCAUUCAGCCUGCAACACAUGCUGUUCUGCUAGUAACAGACAGAAAGAAAAGUGUAACAGGCAAAUAGACAGCCAGCCAGACAGACAGACAGACAGACAGGCAGACAGCCAGCCAGCCAGACAGACAGGCAGACAGACAGGCAGACAGACAGACAGGUGGACUGACAUGCAGUUGCGCGCGGCCAGGUCCCUGUGGAGGAUGUUCUUGGUGCUGAGGUAGUCCAUCCCCCGGGCGACGUCGACCAGGAAGCCCAGCAGGAUCUGGACAGACAGUUCCUGGACACACAGACAGGUUCAUCAGACAGACAGCUCCACGAGACACACAGACAGGUUCAUCAGACAGACAGCUCCUGGACACACAGACAGGUUCAUCAGACAGACAGCUCCACGAGACACACAGACAGGUUCAUCAGACAGACAGCUCCUGGACACACAGAACGGUUCAUCAGACAGACAGCUCCUGGACACACAGACAGGUUCAUCAGACAGACAGCUCCUGGACACACAGACAGGUUCAUCAGACAGACAGCUCCUGGACACACACAGACAGGUUCAUCAGACAGACAGCUCCUGGACACACAGAACGGUUCAUCAGACAGACAGCUCCAUGAGACACACAGACAGGUUUGUCAGACAGACAGCUCCUUGAAACACAGACAGGUUAAUCAGACAGACAGCUCCC